AAAAAGUUAAGUUGCAGCCAUUCCCAGGGUGUUCCGUAUAAAGAUAAUGUCAUCAUAUUUUGAAACAAAGUACAAGAAGUUGGUGAAUGGGGUGCUGAUAGACAAUCGUUGAUGGAUAUUUAUAGAGCUCUGAUCAGGACAACACUUGAUUACGAGUGUAGAGUUUAUGGAACAGCGCGGAAGACUUUGCUUCAGAGGCUGGACAGAAUCCAGUAUAUAGCUUUAAGGAUGUGUAUUGGUGCAUUUAUGCCGUCGUUGUAAAAUAAGACUUACCGAUUUGCCUAGUUAAAUAAAAAAUAUAUUUUUAAUGAUCAACAUCUGUAUAUGCCUUAGUAGUGGAGGCAGGUGAGAUACCUUUAGAAAUACGGCAUAAAAACCCAAUAAGCAUUUUCUUAAGUUGAAAGGCUGCCAUUGAACAUUGAGUUUAACAUGUCAAUAGAUUGUUUUAGCUUUGACAUUAAUGUAUAUUAGCUACUUUAAUCACAUUAUGAUUUCUGAAGAUGAGUUGAGUUUACCUUAAGGGGCAUUCACCUAGAUUUAGCAAUUUGCAGCUAUGGAGAAGAGGCAAUACCAAUAGCUGUAUCAAUUUUCAGUCUGUGACUUGCUUCGCCAAAGCCAUCAAUAGUUGGGCUCCCGAGUGGCGCAGUGGUCAAAGGCACGACAUCUCAAUGCUAGAGGCGUCACUACGGACACUCUGGUUCAAUUCCAGGCUGUAUCACAACUGGAUGUGAUUGGGAGUGCUGUAGGGUGGUCCUCCACCAGCUCUAUGUGAGCCAGGUGGAGGACUUCAGAUGUGUGACUUCCAGCUCUAUGUGAGCCAGGUGGAGGACUUCAGAUGUGUGACUUCCAGUCUAUAGCCAUCAUCUGCAGACAUGCCUGCCUCCUGGAGCCUCAGGCUAAGGCCCUCCACAAACCUCUGGCCUGUGAUCUUCUUAGAACAGUCUGAGAAAACAUUCAGACAUAAUGAUAAUCCCUACACAGUCAAGGGAUGUUCCUGGAUGCUCUGGAGUUGUUUGCCAAGGUCUUGCUGCUGGUCAUAUCACAUGAGGAGGUGUGAACCACGGAAGUGUCUCUCUUUGCUGCUGUUUUAGCCUGGCAUGUCUGACGGCCCUGGGCCGCUAUUCUGACUGUCUGAGGCUGGUUAGUAACUGGCAUCAGGUAGACUCUGAGACCGCAGAUCUGCUCACCCUCAGAGCACGUCUCCACAAACAGCUCAACCAGGGGUAUUAUGUACCGCAGGCUGAAAGACUUCACUUCUGUCAUUGAGGACCUGGUCCUGGCUGUGGAGCUGAGUGAGACUUGAGUCCAGGGGGCGGAGCCGAGCGGACACACCCAGGAAAAACUGAGGGCCGUGCAGUAGGCGGCCCAGGCCCAGCUGGUGCUCACCUAUAACGACUUUGCCGUGCCGUGCUUCUUCCCAUAGCUUCUACGUCGAGGAAACCAUGCUGCUCAGCAAGGCCGUCCAGGAGCAGAAGGAGGAAAGCGGCCUCCACAUUAACAGAGGAGACUGUUUCUUCCAGCAGGACGAGUGGGAGUUUGCCCUGGCUGACUACCAGCAGGCGGAGGAGAUGUCUCCUGAUGACCAGGCCAUCUGGAUCCGCCUCGCUGUCAUCCUCAACACCCUGGGCACACACUGCUACCAGGACUGGUGAGUCUCAGUCUGUCAUCCGUAACACUGUGUAUUGUCUUCACCGCAGGAAGUACCAUGAGGCAGCUCUGACAAGUUAUCUGAGGCCAUCAAGUACAACCCUGGAGAUAGACAGUACUAUGAGAACUGGGCCAAAGCCCCACCAUAAAGUGCCCAACGUGGAGGGGGCCUAGCCAGAUGCCAUCACUACCCUUCUCCUGGACCCCACAAAUGAUCAGGCAAGACCCUCAAUGCCUGUACUGUGUGUCUCAUCAACUCUAUCCAUAAUACUGAGCUGUUAUAGCUAGGGUCUAAUGUGGACUAAAGACCCUAGUUAUGCAAGUACUAAGCUCUCACCACUUGUUUCCAAUGCACAUUGGGGGGGGGGCAUGUUUUUUAUAAGUAUAUGAACAGAUUAUUCUUUAUUUUAACGCACAUUUCAUUUUAUGUAAUACAUGUUUCAUAAAGUGGUGUGAAACUCCCACUUGGUGCAGAACUGACUACUGUAGUAAAUCUGUACCUCUGUCUGCAUGUGUGUGUUUCCAGUUUUAAUGUCACAUGGACAGGUACAGUGAAAUGUCUUUCUUGUAACCAACAAAGCAGUAAUCAAUAACAAUGUAAUACAACAAAUAACAUGGUAGAACAAAAACAAGUGAGAUAUAAACAUAAAAAAUAAGAACACAAUAAAGUAAGCAUACUAUAUACAGGGUCAGUGCCAAUACCAUUAUUAACAAUGUGCAGGGAUACUGGAUCGAUAGAGGUAGAUAUAUACAGUACCAGUCAAAAAU